rnacentral:rRNA from 1 species
UACGGAGGGUGCAAGCGUUGUCCGGAUUUAUUGGGUUUAAAGGGUGCGUAGGCGGUCUUUUAAGUCAGUGGUGAAAGCCUCCAGCUUAACUGGAGAAUUGCCAUUGAUACUGGAAGACUUGAGUACAGACGAGGUAGGCGGAAUUUAUGGUGUAGCGGUGAAAUGCAUAGAUACCAUAAAGAACUCCUAUUGCGAAGGCAGCUUACUAGGCUGUAACUGACGCUGAGGCACGAAAAGCGUGGGGGAUCAAACAGG